rnacentral:rRNA from 1 species
CACGUAGGGCGCAAGCGUUGUCCGGAAUUAUUGGGCGUAAAGAGCUCGUAGGCGGUCUGUUGCGUCUGCUGUGAAAACUCGGGGCUUAACCCCGAGCCUGCAGUGGAUACGGGCAGACUAGAGGUAGGUAGGGGAGAAUGGAAUUCCCGGUGGAGCGGUGAAAUGCGUUGAUAUCGGAAGGAACUCCGGUGGCGAAGGCGAGCUGCUGGACCUCUUCUGACGCUGAGGCGCGAAAGCCAGGGGAGCAAACAGG